rnacentral:rRNA from 1 species
UACAGAGGGUGCAAGCGUUUAAUCGGAUUUACUGGGCGUAAAGGGCGCGUAGGUGGUAAAGCAAGUAAGAUGUGAAAGCCCUGGGCUUAACCUGGGAAGUGCAUCUUAAACUGCUUAACUAGAGUAUGGUAGAGGGUAGUGGAAUUUCCGGUGUAGCGGUGAAAUGCGUAGAGAUCGGGAGGAACGCCAGUGGUGAAGACGACUACCUGGACCAAUACUGACACUGAGGCGCGAAAGCGUGGGGAUCAAACAGG